AUUGAACGCUGGCGGCAUGCCUAACACAUGCAAGUCGAACGGCAGCACGGCAGUAGCAAUACUGUGGGUGGCGAGUGGCGGACGGGUGAGGAAUACGUCGGAAUCUGCCCAGUCGUGGGGGAUAACUAGCCGAAAGGUUAGCUAAUACCGCAUACGACCGAGAGGUGAAAGCGGGGACCGCAAGGCCUCGCGCGAUUGGAUGAGCCGACGUCGGAUUAGCUAGUUGGAGGGGUAAAGGCCCACCAAGGCGACGAUCCGUAGCUGGUCUGAGAGGAUGAUCAGCCACACUGGAACUGAGACACGGUCCAGACUCCUACGGGAGGCAGCAGUGGGGAAUAUUGGACAAUGGGCGCAAGCCUGAUCCAGCAAUGCCGCGUGUGUGAAGAAGGCCUUCGGUUGUAAAGACACUUUUAUCUAGGAACGAAAAGACGUUGGAUACAAUACUCUGACGUGC
rnacentral:rRNA from 1 species